AGUGGGGAAUAUUCCGCAAUGGGGGAAACCCUGACGGAGCAACGCCGCGUGAGCGAAGAAGGCCUUUGGGUUGUAAAGCUCUGUCUUCAGGGAAGAAACCUUAAGAGAGGAUAAUGCUCUUAAGCUGACGGUACCUGAGGAGGAAGCCCCGGCUAACUACGUGCCAGCAGCCGCGGUAAUACGUAGGGGGCGAGCGUUGUCCGGAAUUAUUGGGCGUAAAGCGCGCGUAGGCGGUCAUUUAAGUCAGGCGUGAAAAACCUAGGCUCAACCAAGGUAUUGCGUUUGAAACUGGAUGACUUGAGGGCAGGAGAGGAUAGCGGAAUUCCUAGUGUAGCGGUGAAAUGCGUAGAGAUUAGGAGGAACACCAGUGGCGAAGGCGGCUAUCUGGCCUGUACCUGACGCUGAGGUGCGAAAGCUGGGGGAGCGAACGGGAUUAGAUACCCCGGUAGUCCCAGCCGUAAACGAUGGGCACUAGGUGUAGGAGGUAUCGACCCCUUCUGUGCCGUAGCUAACGCAAUAAGUGCCCCGCCUGGGGAGUACGGUCGCAAGACUGAAACUCAAAGGAAUUGACGGGGGCCCGCACAAGCGGUGGAGCAUGUGGUUUAAUUCGACGCAACGCGAAGAACCUUACCAGGGCUUGACAUCCCUCGCUAUUCUUGGAAACAAGGAGUUCCCUUCGGGGACGAGGAGACAGGUGGUGCAUGGUUGUCGUCAGCUCGUGUCGUGAGAUGUUGGGUUAAGUCCCGCAACGAGCGCAACCCUUAUCCUUAGUUGCCAUCAUUAAGUUGGGCACUCUAGGGAGACUGCCGGUGACAAACCGGAGGAAGGUGAGGAUGACGUCAAAUCAUCAUGCCCCUUAUGUCCUGGGCUACACACGUGCUACAAUGGCCUGUACAACGGGUAGCGAAGGCGCGAGCCGGAGCCAAUCCUAAGAAAGCAGGUCUCAGUUCGGAUUGCAGGCUGCAACUCGCCUGCAUGAAGUCGGAAUCGCUAGUAAUCGCGGAUCAGCAUGCCGCGGUGAAUACGUUCCCGGGCCUUGUACACACCGCCCGUCACACCACGAAAGUCGGCAACACCCGAAGCCGGUGAGUUAACCAGAAAUGGAGACAGCCGUCGAAGGUGGGGCCGAUGAUUGGGGUG
rnacentral:rRNA from 1 species